rnacentral:rRNA from 1 species
UACGUAGGGUGCGAGCGUUAAUCGGAAUUACUGGGCGUAAAGCGUGCGUAGGCGGUUCCUCAAGUCCGUUGUGAAAGCCCCGGGCUCAACCUGGGAAUGGCAGUGGAAACUAGGGGACUGGAAUCUGGCAGAGGGGGGUGGAAUGCCGCGUGUAGCAGUGAAAUGCGUAGAGAUGUGGAGGAACACCGAUGGCGAAGGCAGCCCCCUGGGCUGAGAUUGACGCUCAGGCACGAAAGCGUGGGGAGCAAACAGG